GAAAUGCGAUAAGUAAUGUGAAUUGCAGAAUUCAGUGAAUCAUCGGAUCUUUGAACGCACAUUGCGCCCACCAGCACUCUGGCGGGCAUGCCUGUUCGAGCGUCAUUUCAACCCUCAGAACCCCUUGCGGGAUCUGGCGUUGGGGAUUGGCAUCCAGCCAGCCCCGAAAUCUAGUGGCGGUCCCUCCGCGACCUCCCCUGUGCAGUAGCGAUACCUCGCAGCGGGACAGCGGUCUGACCACGCCGUAAAACCCCCAACUUCUCAAGGUUGACCUCGAAUCAGGUAGGAAUACCCGCUGAACUUAAGC
rnacentral:misc_RNA from 1 species